rnacentral:rRNA from 1 species
CCUACGGGCGGCUGCAGUCGAGAAUCAUUCACAAUGGGGGAAACCCUGAUGGUGCGACGCCGCGUGGGGGAAUGAAGGUCUUCGGAUUGUAAACCCCUGUCAUGUGGGAGCAAAUUAAAAAGAUAGUACCACAAGAGGAAGAGACGGCUAACUCUGUGCCAGCAGCCGCGGUAAUACAGAGGUCUCAAGCGUUGUUCGGAAUCACUGGGCGUAAAGCGUGCGUAGGCUGUUUCGUAAGUCGUGUGUGAAAGGUGCGGGCUCAACCCGCGGACGGCACAUGAUACUGCGAGACUAGAGUAAUGGAGGGGGAACCGGAAUUCUCGGUGUAGCAGUGAAAUGCGUAGAUAUCGAGAGGAACACUCGUGGCGAAGGCGGGUUCCUGGACAUUAACUGACGCUGAGGCACGAAGGCCAGGGGAGCGAAAGGGAUUAGAUACCCGAGUAGUC